rnacentral:snRNA from 1 species
UCAGCUCUCUUUGCCUUUUGGCUUAGAUCAAGUGUAGUACCUGUUCUUUUUAGAUUAAUCUCUAGAACGCCCCUACGGGGGUAGACUACUUUGCUUGUUUUUGGAAACGGGUCGGUGGCCGCUGAGCUCCGCUCAUGUCACUGAUCACAGUGUCGCUCGUAUUGCACUGCUUCGGGCUGAUGCGAACCAUC